UCCUCAAAGAGGCACUGUACUGAUUUUUCUGGCAGGAUAUUGCUAUUGUAGCAGUAGAGGGCUGUGAGUCCUCACCAAGAAAUGUCAACCCUUUGCCAUGAGGCAGUGUGUCCCCAUCUGCAAUGCUUCUAAUGGGAGGUAUCACGACUUAGCGAAGAGAUUUUGACAGGUGAUGACAGUACUUCAGAGGAUUCACUUCCAGUAAAGCUGUGAUGCCUUGGAAAGUCAUUCAUUCAGGCUCUUGUCCACAUAGACAGGAGCAGACCUUUCUUCCACGUGGAAAUAAGCAGGCCAUUGCCAUGCCAAAAAAAAGACACUCAGCCCUCCAAGACAGCAGCUGCUAGGAGAUGCCUCUAGAGCUGCAUGUCUCCACCACAGCUACUUAUUCCCUUUUUUCAAAUGAGGGGAGAAGAAACAUCUUCUACGAUCAAAACAGAUUGUAACAAGAAAAUAAGG